AACUGUCUAUUGUGCUUGCGGCUGGCUUUUGUCCCCUGAGCUGAUAAAUUAUUGAAUAAGGAGAUGAGAUAGGUUACUAUUGUGCAAGCCCACCUUGCCUCCCCUGGGUAUUGAAGUGGGAAGCCUGCGGUAAACUUCGAACUUCCGCCUUGAACCUUAUGGUUCAGGUUUAAAGCCACGCAACACAAUAGACACUUU
rnacentral:other from 1 species